CCUACGGGUGGCAGCAGUGGGGGAUAUUGCACAAUGGGGGUAACCCUGAUGCAGCGACGCCGCGUGGGUGAAGAAGCGCCUCGGCGCGUAAAGCCCUGUCAGCAGGGAAGAAAAUGACGGUACCUGAAGAAGAAGCCCCUGCUAACUACGUGCCAGCAGCCGUGGGAAAAAGUAGGGGGCAAGCGUUAUCCGGAUUGACUGGGUGUAACGGGGGCGCAGACGGCGGUGCAAGCGAGGCGGGAAAGCCCGGGGCCCAACCCCGGGACUGCUCUUGGAACUGCGUGGCUGGAGGGCAGGAGGGGCUGGCGGAAUUCCUGGUGUAGCGGUGAAAUGCGUAGAUAUCAGGAGGAACACCGGUGGCGAAGGCGGCCUGCUGGACUGCAACUGACGUUGAGGCCCGAAAGCGUGGGGAGCAAACAGGAUUAGAUACCCCGGUAGUC
rnacentral:rRNA from 1 species